AGAUGGAAUCAGGGACAAUGUUCUGUGAAUAAUAGGUGAGGAGAUGGAAUCAGGGACAAUGUUCUGUGAAUAAUAGGUGAGGAGAUGGAAUCAGGGACAAUGUUCUGUGAAUAAUAGGUGAGGAGAUGGAAUCAGGGACAAUGUUCUGUGAAUAAUAGGUGAGGAGAUGGAAUCAGGGACAAUGUUCUGUGAAUAAUAGGUGAGGAGAUGGAAUCAGGGAGAAUAUCCCAUGAAUAAUAGGUGAGGAGAUGGAAUCAGGGAGAAUAUCCCAUGAAUAAUAGGUGAGGAGAUGGAAUCAGGGAGAAUAUCCCAUGAAUAAUAGGUGAGGAGAUGGAAUCAGGGAGAAUAUCCCAUGAAUAAUAGGUGAGGAGAUGGAAUCAGGGAGAAUAUUCUGUGAAUAAUAGGUGAGGAGAUGGAAUCAGGGAGAAUAUCCCAUGAAUAAUAGGUGAGGAGAUGGAAUCAGGGAGAAUAUCCCAUGAAUAAUAGGUGAGGAGAUGGAAUCAGGGAGAAUAUCCCAUGAAUAAUAGGUGAGGAGAUGGAAUCAGGGACAAUAUUCUGUGAAUAAUAGGUGAGGAGAUGGAAUCAGGGAGAAUAUCCCAUGAAUAAUAGGUGAGGAGAUGGAAUCAGGGAGAAUAUUCUGUGAAUAAUAGGUGAGGAGAUGGAAUCAGGGAGAAUAUCCCAUGAAUAAUAGGUGAGGAGAUGGAAUCAGGGAGAAUAUUCUGUGAAUAAUAGGUGAGGAGAUGGAAUCAGGGAGAAUAUUCUGUGAAAAAUAGGUGAGGAGAUGGAAUCAGGGAGAAUAUCCCAUGAAUAAUAGGUGAGGAGAUGGAAUCAGGGAGAAUAUCCCAUGAAUAAUAGGUGAGGAGAUGGAAUCAGGGACAAUGUUCUGUGAAUAAUAGGUGAGGAGAUGGAAUCAGGGAGAAUAUUCUGUGAAAAAUAGGUGAGGAGAUGGAAUCAGGGACAAUGUUCUGUGAAUAAUAGGUGAGGAGAUGGAAUCAGGGAGAAUAUCCCAUGAAUAAUAGGUGAGGAGAUGGAAUCAGGGAGAAUGUUCUGUGAAUAAUAGGUGAGGAGAUGGAAUCAGGGAGAAUAUUCUGUGAAUAAUAGGUGAGGAGAUGGAAUCAGGGACAAUGUUCUGUGAAUAAUAGGUGAGGAGAUGGAAUCAGGGAGAAUAUCCCAUGAAUAAUAGGUGAGGAGAUGGAAUCAGGGAGAAUAUCCCAUGAAUAAUAGGUGAGGAGAUGGAAUCAGGGAGAAUAUCCCAUGAAUAAUAGGUGAGGAGAUGGAAUCAGGGAGAAUAUCCCAUGAAUAAUAGGUGAGGAGAUGGAAUCAGGGAGAAUAUCCCAUGAAUAAUAGGUGAGGAGAUGGAAUCAGGGAGAAUAUCCCAUGAAUAAUAGGUGAGGAGAUGGAAUCAGGGAGAAUAUUCUGUGAAUAAUAGGUGAGGAGAUGGAAUCAGGGAGAAUAUCCCAUGAAUAAUAGGUGAGGAGAUGGAAUCAGGGAGAAUAUCCCAUGAAUAAUAGGUGAGGAGAUGGAAUCAGGGAGAAUAUCCCAUGAAUAAUAGGUGAGGAGAUGGAAUCAGGGAGAAUAUUCUGUGAAUAAUAGGUGAGGAGAUGGAAUCAGGGAGAAUAUCCCAUGAAUAAUAGGUGAGGAGAUGGAAUCAGGGAGAAUAUUCUGUGAAUAAUAGGUGAGGAGAUGGAAUCAGGGAGAAUAUUCUGUGAAAAAUAGGUGAGGAGAUGGAAUCAGGGAGAAUAUCCCAUGAAUAAUAGGUGAGGAGAUGGAAUCAGGGACAAUGUUCUGUGAAUAAUAGGUGAGGAGAUGGAAUCAGGGAGAAUAUUCUGUGAAUAAUAGGUGAGGAGAUGGAAUCAGGGAGAAUAUUCUGUGAAAAAUAGGUGAGGAGAUGGAAUCAGGGAGAAUAUCCCAUGAAUAAUAGGUGAGGAGAUGGAAUCAGGGACAAUGUUCUGUGAAUAAUAGGUGAGGAGAUGGAAUCAGGGACAAUGUUCUGUGAAUAAUAGGUGAGGAGAUGGAAUCAGGGAGAAUAUCCCAUGAAUAAUAGGUGAGGAGAUGGAAUCAGGGAGAAUAUCCCAUGAAUAAUAGGUGAGGAGAUGGAAUCAGGGAGAAUAUUCUGUGAAUAAUAGGUGAGGAGAUGGAAUCAGGGAGAAUAUUCUGUGAAUAAUAGGUGAGGAGAUGGAAUCAGGGAGAAUAUCCCAUGAAUAAUAGGUGAGGAGAUGGAAUCAGGGAGAAUAUCCCAUGAAUAAUAGGUGAGGAGAUGGAAUCAGGGACAAUAUUCUGUGAAUAAUAGGUGAGGAGAUGGAAUCAGGGACAAUAUUCUGUGAAUAAUAGGUGAGGAGAUGGAAUCAGGGAGAAUAUCCCAUGAAUAAUAGGUGAGGAGAUGGAAUCAGGGAGAAUAUCCCAUGAAUAAUAGGUGAGGAGAUGGAAUCAGGGACAAUGUUCUGUGAAUAAUAGGUGAGGAGAUGGAAUCAGGGAGAAUAUCCCAUGAAUAAUAGGUGAGGAGAUGGAAUCAGGGAGAAUAUCCCAUGAAUAAUAGGUGAGGAGAUGGAAUCAGGGAGAAUAUCCCAUGAAUAAUAGGUGAGGAGAUGGAAUCAGGGACAAUAUCCCAUGAAUAAUAGGUGAGGAGAUGGAAUCAGGGAGAAUAUCCCAUGAAUAAUAGGUGAGGAGAUGGAAUCAGGGACAAUAUCCCAUGAAUAAUAGGUGAGGAGAUGGAAUCAGGGAGAAUAUUCUGUGAAUAAUAGGUGAGGAGAUGGAAUCAGGGAGAAUAUUCUGUGAAAAAUAGGUGAGGAGAUGGAAUCAGGGACAAUGUUCUGUGAAUAAUAGGUGAGGAGAUGGAAUCAGGGAGAAUAUCCCAUGAAUAAUAGGUGAGGAGAUGGAAUCAGGGAGAAUAUCCCAUGAAUAAUAGGUGAGGAGAUGGAAUCAGGGAGAAUAUCCCAUGAAUAAUAGGUGAGGAGAUGGAAUCAGGGAGAAUAUCCCAUGAAUAAUAGGUGAGGAGAUGGAAUCAGGGAGAAUAUCCCAUGAAUAAUAGGUGAGGAGAUGGAAUCAGGUAGAAUAUCCCAUGAAUAAUAGGUGAGGAGAUGGAAUCAGGGAGAAUAUCCCAUGAAUAAUAGGUGAGGAGAUGGAAUCAGGGAGAAUAUCCCAUGAAUAAUAGGUGAGGAGAUGGAAUCAGGGAGAAUAUCCCAUGAAUAAUAGGUGAGGAGAUGGAAUCAGGGAGAAUAUCCCAUGAAUAAUAGGUGAGGAGAUGGAAUCAGGGAGAAUAUCCCAUGAAUAAUAGGUGAGGAGAUGGAAUCAGGGAGAAUAUCCCAUGAAUAAUAGGUGAGGAGAUGGAAUCAGGAGAAUAUCCCAUGAAUAAUAGGUGAGGAGAUGGAAUCAGGGAGAAUAUCCCAUGAAUAAUAGGUGAGGAGAUGGAAUCAGGGAGAAUAUCCCAUGAAUAAUAGGUGAGGAGAUGGAAUCAGGGAGAAUAUCCCAUGAAUAAUAGGUGAGGAGAUGGAAUCAGGGAGAAUAUCCCAUGAAUAAUAGGUGAGGAGAUGGAAUCAGGGAGAAUAUCCCAUGAAUAAUAGGUGAGGAGAUGGAAUCAGGGACAAUAUCCCAUGAAUAAUAGGUGAGGAGAUGGAAUCAGGGAGAAUAUCCCAUGAAUAAUAGGUGAGGAGAUGGAAUCAGGGAGAAUAUCCCAUGAAUAAUAGGUGAGGAGAUGGAAUCAGGGAGAAUAUCCCAUGAAUAAUAGGUGAGGAGAUGGAAUCAGGGAGAAUAUCCCAUGAAUAAUAGGUGAGGAGAUGGAAUCAGGGAGAAUAUCCCAUGAAUAAUAGGUGAGGAGAUGGAAUCAGGUAGAAUAUCCCAUGAAUAAUAGGUGAGGAGAUGGAAUCAGGGAGAAUAUCCCAUGAAUAAUAGGUGAGGAGAUGGAAUCAGGGAGAAUAUUCUGUGAAAAAUAGGUGAGGAGAUGGAAUCAGGGAGAAUAUCCCAUGAAUAAUAGGUGAGGAGAUGGAAUCAGGGACAAUGUUCUGUGAAUAAUAGGUGAGGAGAUGGAAUCAGGGACAAUGUUCUGUGAAUAAUAGGUGAGGAGAUGGAAUCAGGGACAAUGUUCUGUGAAUAAUAGGUGAGGAGAUGGAAUCAGGGAGAAUAUUCUGUGAAAAAUAGGUGAGGAGAUGGAAUCAGGGACAAUGUUCUGUGAAUAAUAGGUGAGGAGAUGGAAUCAGGGACAAUGUUCUGUGAAAAAUAGGUGAGGAGAUGGAAUCAGGGAGAAUAUCCCAUGAAUAAUAGGUGAGGAGAUGGAAUCAGGGACAAUGUUCUGUGAAUAAUAGGUGAGGAGAUGGAAUCAGGGAGAAUAUUCUGUGAAUAAUAGGUGAGGAGAUGGAAUCAGGGAGAAUAUCCCAUGAAUAAUAGGUGAGGAGAUGGAAUCAGGGAGAAUAUUCUGUGAAUAAUAGGUGAGGAGAUGGAAUCAGGGAGAAUAUCCCAUGAAUAAUAGGUGAGGAGAUGGAAUCAGGGAGAAUAUUCUGUGAAUAAUAGGUGAGGAGAUGGAAUCAGGGAGAAUAUCCCAUGAAUAAUAGGUGAGGAGAUGGAAUCAGGGAGAAUAUCCCAUGAAUAAUAGGUGAGGAGAUGGAAUCAGGGACAAUGUUCUGUGAAUAAUAGGUGAGGAGAUGGAAUCAGGGAGAAUAUCCCAUGAAUAAUAGGUGAGGAGAUGGAAUCAGGGAGAAUAUCCCAUGAAUAAUAGGUGAGGAGAUGGAAUCAGGGAGAAUAUUCUGUGAAUAAUAGGUGAGGAGAUGGAAUCAGGGAGAAUAUCCCAUGAAUAAUAGGUGAGGAGAUGGAAUCAGGGACAAUGUUCUGUGAAUAAUAGGUGAGGAGAUGGAAUCAGGGACAAUGUUCUGUGAAUAAUAGGUGAGGAGAUGGAAUCGGGGAGAAUAUCCCAUGAAUAAUAGGUGAGGAGAUGGAAUCAGGGAGAAUAUCCCAUGAAUAAUAGGUGAGGAGAUGGAAUCAGGGACAAUGUUCUGUGAAUAAUAGGUGAGGAGAUGGAAUCAGGGAGAAUAUCCCAUGAAUAAUAGGUGAGGAGAUGGAAUCAGGGAGAAUAUCCCAUGAAUAAUAGGUGAGGAGAUGGAAUCAGGGAGAAUGUUCUGUGAAUAAUAGGUGAGGAGAUGGAAUCAGGGAGAAUAUUCUGUGAAUAAUAGGUGAGGAGAUGGAAUCAGGGACAAUGUUCUGUGAAUAAUAGGUGAGGAGAUGGAAUCAGGGAGAAUAUCCCAUGAAUAAUAGGUGAGGAGAUGGAAUCAGGGACAAUGUUCUGUGAAUAAUAGGUGAGGAGAUGGAAUCAGGGACAAUGUUCUGUGAAUAAUAGGUGAGGAGAUGGAAUCAGGGAGAAUAUCCCAUGAAUAAUAGGUGAGGAGAUGGAAUCAGGGAGAAUAUUCUGUGAAAAAUAGGUGAGGAGAGAGAAUCAGGGAGAAUUUUCCAUGAAUAAUCAGACUUCUAUCAUUAGCAUUCCCAGUUACAGGGAGGCUUUGCAACUGACCAAGACAUAGUAACUAACACACCAAGACAUAGUAACCAAGACAUAGUAACUAACACACCCAGACAUAGUAAAUAACACACCAAGACGUAGUAACACACCCAGACAUAGUAACUAACACACCCAGACAUAGUAACUAACACACCCAGACAUAGUAACUAACACACCCAGAUAUAGUAACUAAUACACCCAGACAUAGUAAAUAACACACCAAGACGUAGUAACUAACACACCAAGACGCAGUAACCAACACACCAAGACGUAGUAACCAACACACCAAGACGUAGUAACCAACACACCAAGACGUAGUAACCAACACACCAAGAUGUAGUAACCAACACACCAAGACGUAGUAACCAACACACCAAGACGUAGUAACCAACACACCAAGACGUAGUAACCAACACACCAAGACGUAGUAACUAACACACCAAGACGUAGUAACCAACACACCAAGACGUAGUAACCAACACACCAAGAUGUAGUAACCAACACACCAAGACGUAGUAACCAACACACCAAGACGUAGUAACCAACACACCAAGAUGUAGUAACCAACACACCAAGACGUAGUAACCAACACACCAAGACGUAGUAACCAACACACCAAGACGUAGUAACCAACACACCAAGACGUAGUAACUAACACACCCAGACAUAGUAAAUAACACACCAAGACGUAGUAACACACCCAGACAUAGUAACUAACACACCCAGACAUAGUAACUAACACACCCAGACAUAGUAACUAAAACACCCAGACAUAGUAAAUAACACACCAAGACGUAGUAACUAACACACCAAGACAUAGUAACCAACACACCAAGACGUAGUAACCAACACACCAAGACGUAGUAACCAACACACCAAGACGUAGUAACCAACACACCAAGACGUAGUAACCAACACACCAAGACGUAGUAACCAACACACCAAGACGUAGUAACCAACACACCAAGACGUAGUAACCAACACACCAAGACGUAGUAAAUAACACACCAAGACGUAGUAACCAACACACCAAGACGUAGUAACUAACACACCAAGACAUAGUAACUAACACACCCAGACAUAGUAACUAACACACCCAGACAUAGUAAAUAACACACCAAGACGUAGUAACCAACACACCAAAACGUAGUAACUAACACACCAAGACGUAGUAACUAACACACCAAGACGUAGUAAACAACACACCAAGACAUAGUAACUAACACACCAAGACAUAGUAACUAACACACCAAGAUGUAGUAACCAACACACCAAGACGUAGUAACCAACACACCAAGAUAUAGUAACCAACACACCAAUACAUAUUAAACCAAGACAUAGUAACCAACACACCAAGACGUAGUAACCUACACACCAAGAUGUAGUAACCAACACCCCAAAAUGUAGUAACAAACACACCAAGAAGUAGUAACCAACACACCAAGAAGUAGUAACCAACACACCAAGACGUAGUAACCAACACACCAAGACGUAGUAACCAACACACCAAGACGUAGUAACCAACACACAAAGACGUAGUAGCCAUAGUCCGCUUCAGCUCUAUUAGUUGAUGCAAGACACCUCUAACCGUUCAUCUGUUUCUCUCUCUUUUUCUGUUUUUCUCUUUCCCUCUCUGUCUCCCCCCUGUCUCCCCGCCUGUCUGUCUGUCUCCCCCUGUCU